rnacentral:rRNA from 1 species
UACGUAGGGUGCGAGCGUGUCCGGAAUUAUUGGGCGUAAAGGGCUCGUAGGCGGUUUGUCGCGUCGGGGAGUGAGAACCUUGGGCUUAACUCAGGCUUGCUUUCGAUACGGGCAGACUAGAGGUAUGCAGGGGAGAACGGAAUUCCUGGUGUAGCGGUGGAAAUGCGCAGAUAUCAGGAGGAACACCGGUGGCGAAGGCGGUUCUCUGGGCAUGAUCUGACGCUGAGGAGCGAAAGUGUAGGGAGCGAACAGG